CCUCUUCUCCCUCCUCCCA
rnacentral:miRNA from 1 species